UACGGAGGGGGCUAGCGUUGCUCGGAAUUACUGGGCGUAAAGCGCACGUAGGCGGCUUUGUAAGUCAGAGGUGAAAUCCCGGGGCUCAACCCCGGAACUGCCUUUGAGACUGCAUCGCUUGAAUCCAGGAGAGGUGAGUGGAAUUCCGAGUGUAGAGGUGAAAUUCGUAGAUAUUCGGAAGAACACCAGUGGCGAAGGCGGCUCACUGGACUGGUAUUGACGCUGAGGUGCGAAAGCGUGGGGAGCAAACAGG
rnacentral:rRNA from 1 species